rnacentral:rRNA from 1 species
AGAUGGAGCUGCCUACAGGUGCAAGUCCUACAGAGAGUGGGGCGACUCACUCUCAGUGGCAAAGGGGUGAGUAACACAGUGAAUAACCUGCCUUUGAGAAGGGGAUAACUGUCCGAUAGGGAUAGCUAAUACCCUAUAUUGCCUUUUGUCACAAAGAGAAAAGGUGAGAAGCGAGGCUGUCAAAGGCUUCGGCUCAAAGAGGGGUUCGCGUCCUAUCAGGUAGUUGGUGGGGUAAUGGCCUACCAAGCCAAUGACGGGUAGCUAGUCUUAGAGGAUAAUCAAGCACAGUGGGACUGAGACACGGCCCGCACCCCUACGAGGGGCAGCAAGGGGAAAUCAGGGGCAAUGGGCGCAAGCCUGACCCCGCAAUGCCGCGUGAGGGGAGGAAGCCCUUCGGGGUGUAAACCUCUGUCAGAUGGGAAGAAGGAGCUAGGGGCUAAUACCUCCUAGUCUUGACAGUACCAUCACAGGAAGGGACGGCUAACUACGUGCCCGCAGCCGCGGUAAU